rnacentral:rRNA from 1 species
GAUGAACGCUGGCGGCGUGCCUAAUACAUGCAAGUCGAGCGAACAGACGAGGAGCUUGCUCCUCUGACGUUAGCGGCGGACGGGUGAGUAACACGUGGAUAACCUACCUAUAAGACUGGGAUAACUUCGGGAAACCGGAGCUAAUACCGGAUAAUAUAUUGAACCGCAUGGUUCAAUAGUGAAAGACGGUUUUGCUGUCACUUAUAGAUGGAUCCGCGCCGCAUUAGCUAGUUGGUAAGGUAACGGCUUACCAAGGCAACGAUGCGUAGCCGACCUGAGAGGGUGAUCGGCCACACUGGAACUGAGACACGGUCCAGACUCCUACGGGAGGCAGCAGUAGGGAAUCUUCCGCAAUGGGCGAAAGCCUGACGGAGCAACGCCGCGUGAGUGAUGAAGGUCUUCGGAUCGUAAAACUCUGUUAUUAGGGAAGAACAAAUGUGUAGGUAACGAUGCACGUCUUGACGGUACCUAAUCAGAAAGCCACGGCUAACUACGU